ACCAACGAUUACGAAGUCAAAAUGCGUAACGUGUUCAAAUUUCUGGAAAAUGGCGACAAGGUGAAGGUCACCCUGCGUUUCCGUGGCCGCGAAAUGGCGCACCAGAAUUUGGGGCGCGAACUGCUUGAGCGGGUUGCCGAAGAUACCAAAGAGCAUGGUCGGGUAGAGAACUUUCCCAAGAUGGAAGGCCGCCAGAUGGUGAUGUUGAUCGGCCCGAUGCCGAACAAAUAACGCCUCCCCUAUUGAUACAAGAAACCGCCCCCGACAUUGUUGGGGGCGGUUUUUUUAUGUCUUGGGAUACGCAGCCCUUGCGGAGCAUCCCACGAA
rnacentral:misc_RNA from 1 species